GAGACAAGCAUAUGACUACUGGCAGGAUCAACCAGGUAGCAUUCCAUGUCGACUUUCGACGCUGCAUGGACAAAGCCAAAACAACACCGACUGUCGUUCGUACAUAGCGUGGAACGCAUUUAGGGGCAAAUGGAGACUGACGGUGCCUCGUACCCACGAGGUACUCUAUGACCGAGAGAACAAGCAUGGUGUCAUUGAUCCAACAACCCAAUCACGUUGAAGCCAAAGGGGGUUGAAGCAUGACAUCCGCUUCAAAUUUCACCUCACGCCGUGAACCCAAGGGCUCAAAGCGAAAUGCGAAAAUCAAUUAAUCCAACGAAUUCCCACUCUUUGGGUAUAGAUCACAGGAAACAAGGCUCGGCCAAGAAGUUUUUCCUACUCUUGGACCAAUCACUGAAAAGGCGUGACAGAUAUACUUUCGCUGCACAAACAGGGACUCAGCAUACCUAUACACGCCAACCACCACUCACGCGCU
rnacentral:misc_RNA from 1 species